UACGGAGGGGGCUAGCGUUGUUCGGAAUUACUGGGCGUAAAGCGCACGUAGGCGGACUGUUAAGUCGGGGGUGAAAUCCUGGGGCUCAACCUCAGAAUUGCCUCCGAUACUGGCAGUCUCGAGUGCGGGAGAGGUGAGUGGAAUUCCCAGUGUAGAGGUGAAAUUCGUAGAUAUUGGGAAGAACACCAGUGGCGAAGGCGGCUCACUGGACCGUAACUGACGCUGAGGUGCGAAAGCGUGGGGAGCAAACAGG
rnacentral:rRNA from 1 species